AGCAUCAGCAGCUGGUGAUGAAACGCUGAGAUUCUGGAAUGUUUUUGAGGUCCCUGAGGUGGCUAAACCAGCUCCCAAAGCUAAUCCGGAGCCUUUUGCCCAUUUGAAUCGUAUCCGUUGAUCAAAAGCAUGCAUGAGGAGUAAUUACACGAGAUGGAGAUUCAUGGAACCAAAACUGUAUAGGAUGCAGAACCAGAACUAGCUUCAGGAAUCAGUUCUGUUCUUUUUAGCGCAAGUUUGAAGUGAAAUGAAAAACACAUGACAAUCUCAGUACAUGUUCUUUCUACAAUUCCCCUAUAUAAAUUAUAAAGAGUUGCAGGAAAUAAGAAAUCCUUGUACAUAUUCUUUUGACAAUCUCAGUACACAUUUUUUGCCAG
rnacentral:lncRNA from 1 species